UACGGGGGGGGCGAAGCGUUGUUCGGAAUACUGGGCGUAAAGCGCACGCAGGCGGUCGCGCGCGUGGGGUGUGAAAGUCUGGCCGCUUAACGGCCAGGCGCCAUCCCAUACGGCGCGACUCGAGCCAUGCAGAGGGCGGUGGAAUUGCCGGUGUAGCGGUGAAAUGCGUAGAUAUCUGGAGGAACACCGGUGGCGAAGGCGGCAUCCUGGACCGGCAUUGACGCUGAGGAGCGAAAGCCAGGGGAGCAAACGGG
rnacentral:rRNA from 1 species